AGAUGUGAGGGUGAUCCAGCUGCGACAGCUAUCAUCCCACUGAUCACCAGGGUUGAUUCGGGUGAUCUGGCUGGCUAGGCAGGUGUCCCCUUCCUCCCUCAUCCACUCCAUGUGCUUGCUUCCCUCCCGAAGCUCAGUCGAAGAGGAUGACCUUCCCCGAUAGAGGAGGACCGUGCUUCUCCAUCAAGGGUAUAUGAGUACCUGCACUCCCCUGCUAGGACCUACAAACAAGCUCUCAAAAGGUAGCAGCUGGAAUAGAAGGAGAACUGAGAGACUCUUCUGGAGUCCACAGCAAUGGGCAGGUCCUCAAGA
rnacentral:snRNA from 1 species